CGCGGCCUAUCAGCUUGUUGGUGAGGUAGUGGCUCACCAAGGCGACGACGGGUAGCCGGCCUGAGAGGGCGACCGGCCACACUGGGACUGAGACACGGCCCAGACUCCUACGGGAGGCAGCAGUGGGGAAUAUUGCACAAUGGGCGAAAGCCUGAUGCAGCGACGCCGCGUGAGGGAUGACGGCCUUCGGGUUGUAAACCUCUUUCAGCAGGGAAGAAGCGAAAGUGACGGUACCUGCAGAAGAAGCGCCGGCUAACUACGUGCCAGCAGCCGCGGUAAUACGUAGGGCGCAAGCGUUGUCCGGAAUUAUUGGGCGUAAAGAGCUCGUAGGCGGCUUGUCACGUCGGGUGUGAAAGCCCGGGGCUUAACCCCGGGUCUGCAUUCGAUACGGGCUAGCUAGAGUGUGGUAGGGGAGAUCGGAAUUCCUGGUGUAGCGGUGAAAUGCGCAGAUAUCAGGAGGAACACCGGUGGCGAAGGCGGAUCUCUGGGCCAUUACUGACGCUGAGGAGCGAAAGCGUGGGGAGCGAACAGGAUUAGAUACCCUGGUAGUCCACGCCGUAAACGGUGGGAACUAGGUGUUGGCGACAUUCCACGUCGUCGGUGCCGCAGCUAACGCAUUAAGUUCCCCGCCUGGGGAGUACGG
rnacentral:rRNA from 1 species